rnacentral:tmRNA from 2 species
GGGGACGUACAGAUUCGACGUUCUGGCACUUUAAAAACUGCAAGCCGUUAAGGCAAACUUAAACGUUAAAUAUGUUUGCAAAAAUAAAUGCUAACGCAAAAUUAGCAUCCCGAGUGUUUAUGCUCGGAGUACUUGGGAAACCAGGUUUCACUCCAGCCUUAGCAUAAAGGUAUCUUAAGUUUAUCUCUAUCUGACGGAAUACUUAGGGUAUGUACAACAGUCAGGUUGCUGUCCCGAUAGUUUUGUUUGAUCUAUCGGGAUUUAAGACAACUCAAUCAAGUAUUGAAUUUCCCGUCAGUAGGUUACAUUCAAUACUUAAAAAUUUGCUGACUACGCUUGUAGAUGUUGUUAAAUUGUUAGUGCACACAGGGCUCAAUGCCCUCGUCUCCACCA